UACGUAGGGUGCAAGCGUUGUCCGGAAUCACUAGGCGUAAAGCGCAGGUAGGCGGUUUGAUAAGUCUGUUGUGAAAGCUCCCGGCUUAACUGGGAGAGGUCAACGGAAACUGUCAGGCUAGAGUGUGGUAGAGGUAGCUGGAAUUCCCGGUGUAGCGGUGAAAUGCGUAGAUAUCGGGAGGAAUACCUAUGGCGAAAGCAGGCUACUGGACCAUCACUGACGCUGAUCUGCGAAAGCUAGGGGAGCAAAAGGG
rnacentral:rRNA from 1 species